UACGUAGGGGGCAAGCGUUGUCCGGAUUUAUUGGGCGUAAAGAGCGUGUAGGCGGCUUUGCAAGUCCGUUGUGAAAACUCGAGCUCAACCUCGAGACGCCGGUGGAAACUGCAAAGCUAGAGUCCGGAAGAGGAGAGUGGAAUUCCUGGUGUGAGCGGUGAAAUGCGCAGAUAUCAGGAAGAACACCCGUGGCGAAGGCGGCUCCUCUGGGACGGUACUGACGCUGAGACGCGAAAGCGUGGGGAGCGAAC
rnacentral:rRNA from 1 species